ACUUGUGCUGUUUUCCCAGACAAACCCAGGGCUGAGGAUGCAAGAGAAGGGCUGUGUGACACCCAGAUGGUCUCCGCAGGAGGCCCAGAGGAAACUGAUGAACUUCAGCUCAUUCCAUGUUCAGAGCUGCUCCCUGAAGUGACCACACACAAACCUGCUGCUGAGACUACUGACAGUGUCUCUGAAGUACAGCAGCCUGAAAGGUCUCGUUUGACAAGCAAUAAUGAGGUACCAACUUAAUCUAUAUGAGAAAUUAUGAACUAGAUAUGUUAAUAAGAUCCUGUUAAAAAAAAAGUUGGAGAUUUGCAUAUUUAGCUUUCUGGCACCCCCUGUUGGUUAAAAACUCCACUUGCACACAAUAAUGCCACUG